GAGGAAAAAAGAAAAUAUCCCAGGGGACUGAAAAACAUCAACAGAUUUCUUCAGAAUCAGUGAGGAAUUGGCUAGUUAGCUUCCACACCCAGACUACUUCUUUGGCAAAGUUUCGACUUACAAGUGGUGAGAAAAGUGUGACACUGGCUGUUACAACACAGGCCUUGAACUAAGGAGUAACAAGGGCUGUCCAACUCACCAUGUUCUCGAGCCAUGGGGAGCUGCCUCUGGCUCCAAAACCAGAUCCGAAAUG